UUCUUGUAAUGUGAAUAAUCAUUCCCUCAUUCGUUGUUUCCCAAGUUAUUGUUUGCUUAUUUCUGUUUCCAUAGUAUUUCCAUUGCUUUCUUAUGACUGUGGCCUUGUCACAGCUAACUGUGUGUCCUGAAAAAGUAGGCCGUAUUCCUCCAUGCCUGUUACAUCCAUGUCCAUCACACAGUGGUCAGGCAGCACCUACUAUUUGGGAAUGUAGAGAAAGUGACAUAUAUAAUCUCUCUCCUACAUACUUGUUAGAUCUAUUGUUCAGAGACUCCAUGAAGCAAAAUUAAAAUUG
rnacentral:lncRNA from 1 species